UAUCGUGGAGGCGCGCGGCCCGUUGCGACCGUCCAACCCUUAUAUAAUUUCAUCGCGCACUCCGCACUCCGCACGUACGUUGCGCAACGCGCGAAAGGGAUACUUUUCGGAGGACCCACGUUCCCCGACUCAUCCCGGCCCCGGUUCGAGUUUUCCCGUGUUCAUCCCCGGGGGAGACGUCCUGGCAUGCGGCGCGCAAACGGUUUUGCGUAUUUCGGAAUACUUCCAAAACUGCGAAGCGGGCUGGCUGAGGGCGAAACUCCACCGUUUGUAAACAGAGAACUGUGUGAUAUCUGGGCAGUUUGAUGUACAAUAGCGGCUCCUGCUUCUAAACAUUUAUUGUCCAACGACAAAUAAAAAGUUACGUUGCCUAAAAAGUUAUGAAAAGUUAUGAAAAGUCACAUUGUAUGAGGACAUCCUUUAUAGAUCGCUCACCAGGACUCUAAUCAGGCAACACAAUAUGGCAAAGCGCGGUGUGGCGCAGCUGGUGACUUAAUUAAGAUUUAUUUUGAGUAAUCAAGGAAGAAUUAUUGGGUGAACUAGAUGACGACAGUAAGAUGAUAGGACUGAUGUUAAUACGACCCUCCGAAUCGUAUCGCUUUUUCGCAAUAACUUAUGUACAUGACACAAUAUGCAUUAUACAAGGAUAUAAAUAAAAUUAAGAUGUAA